UACGGGGGGGGCAAGCGUUGUUCGGAAUUACUGGGCGUAAAGAGCUCGUAGGCGGCUCAGCAAGUCGGGUGUGAAACCUCCAGGCUCAACCUGGAGACGCCACUCGAUACUGCUGUGGCUAGAGUCCAGUAGGGGAGCGUGGAAUUCCUGGUGUAGCGGUGAAAUGCGCAGAUAUCAGGAGGAACACCAGCGGCGAAGGCGGCGCUCUGGGCUGGAACUGACGCUGAGGAGCGAAAGCGUGGGGAGCAAACAGG
rnacentral:rRNA from 1 species